GACGAACGCUGGCGGCGUGCUUAACACAUGCAAGUCGAACGGAAAGGCCCUGCUUUUGUGGGGUGCUCGAGUGGCGAACGGGUGAGUAACACGUGAGUAACCUGCCCUUGACUUUGGGAUAACUUCAGGAAACUGGGGCUAAUACCGGAUAGGAGCUCCUGCUGCAUGGUGGGGGUUGGAAAGUUUCGGCGGUUGGGGAUGGACUCGCGGCUUAUCAGCUUGUUGGUGGGGUAGUGGCUUACCAAGGCUUUGACGGGUAGCCGGCCUGAGAGGGUGACCGGCCACAUUGGACUGAGAUACGGCCCAGACUCCUACGGGAGGCAGCAGUGGGGAAUAUUGCACAAUAGGCGGAAGCCUGAUGCAGCAACGCCGCGUGCGGGAUGACGGCCUUCGGGUUGUAAACCGCUUUCGCCUGUGACGAAGCGUGAGUGACGGUAAUGGGUAAAGAAGCACCGGCUAACUACGUG
rnacentral:rRNA from 1 species